CUCACCCAGGUCUGUGGUUGCGGGCGCAAGCCCUAGUCCAUGGCAGACGAGGCCAAAGGGACCCACGUAAGCCUGCGCGUGCGCGCGGAGGCGAGCAUGGCUCGUCCUAGAGGUAAGCCGUACCGCCCGUCAGACUGAAGAGGCAUACCGCCUCGCGGGCGAGAGGGUCGGUAGUGACGGGUGCCGCGGCAUCCCGAGCGAGCGCCCCGGUACGCGAGUGUGGGGGCAAAGACCAGGUCAGCUGGGUGAG
rnacentral:ncRNA from 12 species